CCUGUGGUUUGCACCAUGUGGCCUAAAAAGUGUUAAAAGGCGACAACUUCUUUCUCUUUUCGCUGUUGUUUCCGGGAUCAAGCAGGCAGAGAACUGGUUUAACAAAUAGCUGUAAAAUGAACAUUCGGAGCACAUGGAGAUAAGAGGAAGCGUGCAAAAAAAGGAUUGGAGCGCGAAGAGAAGAGGCGGGAACAUCAGUGCAGUCACUCAUAAAGUAGACAGCACUACUAAAGGUCUCUACACAGUGUAGUGUUUCCUACUUUAUGGAUGAGUGUACUGUUUGCUGCGAAGGAUGAUCUUAUGGAGAACCAAAUGAUGCUGAAUCUGAAUGUCUUGUUUAUUAAAUAUGAAUAAAGAUGGUGUUUCAAGA